rnacentral:rRNA from 1 species
GACGAACGCUGGCGGCGUGCCUAAUACAUGCAAGUAGAACGCACAGUUUAUACCGUAGCUUGCUACACCAUAAACUGUGAGUUGCGAACGGGUGAGUAACGCGUAGGUAACCUGCCUGGUAGCGGGGGAUAACUAUUGGAAACGAUAGCUAAUACCGCAUAAUAUUGAUUAUUGCAUGAUAAUUGAUUGAAAGAUGCUAUUGCAUCACUACCAGAUGGACCUGCGUUGUAUUAGCUAGUAGGUGAGGUAACGGCUCACCUAGGCGACGAUACAUAGCCGACCGGAGAGGGUGAUCGGCCACACUGGGACUGAGACACGGCCCAGACUCCUACGGGAGGCAGCAGUAGGGAAUCUUCGGCAAUGGACGAAAGUCUGACCGAGCAACGCCGCGUGAGUGAAGAAGGUUUUCGGAUCGUAAAGCUCUGUUGUAAGAGAAGAACGGGUGUGAGAGUGGAAAGUUCACACUGUGACGGUAUCUUACCAGAAAGGGACGGCUAACUACGUG